rnacentral:rRNA from 1 species
UACGGAGGGAGCUAGCGUUGUUCGGAAUUACUGGGCGUAAAGCGCACGUAGGCGGCUUUGUAAGUUAGAGGUGAAAGCCCGGGGCUCAACCCCGGAAUUGCCUUUAAGACUGCAUCGCUUGAAUCCAGGAGAGGUGAGUGGAAUUCCGAGUGUAGAGGUGAAAUUCGUAGAUAUUCGGAAGAACACCAGUGGCGAAGGCGGCCUGCACA